CUGCUCACUUUGGCAGCACAUAGACUAAAAUUGGAACGAUACUGGGAAGAUUAGCAUGGCCUCUGUGCAAGGAUGCAUGCAAAGUCAUAAAGUGUUCUCAAUUAAG
ensembl:snRNA U6 U6 spliceosomal RNA